GACAGAGGGUGCAAACGUUGCUCGGAAUUACUGGGCGUAAAGCGCGCGUAGGCGGGUUGGCAAGUCCGCUGUGAAAGCCCGGUGCUUAACGCCGGAGGGUCGGUGGAUACUGCCAGUCUUGAAGGUGCUAGGGGAAGAUGGAAUUACCAGUGUAGCGGUGAAAUGCGUAGAUAUUGGUAGGAACACCAGUGGCGAAGGCGGUCUUCUGGAGCACUCUUGACGCUGAGGCGCGAAAGCUGGGGGAGCGAACGGG
rnacentral:rRNA from 1 species